CCUACGGGAGGCAGCAGUGAGGAAUAUUGGUCAAUGGGCGUAAGCCUGAACCAGCCAAGUCGCGUGAGGGAUGAAGGUUCUACGGAUCAUAAACCUCUUUUAUAAGGGAAUAAAGUGUGGCACGUGUCCUUUUUUGUAUGUACUUUAUGAAUAAGGAUCGGCUAACUCCGUGCCAGCAGCCGCGGUAAUACGGAGGUUCCGGGCGUUAUCCGGAUUUAUUGGGUUUAAAGGGAGUGUAGGCGGGACUUUAAGCGUGCCGUGAAAUCUUGUGGCUCAACCUUGGGAGUGCGGCGCAAACUGGAGGCCUGGAGUACGCGGAAGGCAGACGGAAUUCCUGGUGUAGCGGUGAAAUGCGUAGAUAUCACGAAGAACCCCAGUUGCGAAGGCGGCCUGCCGGAGAGUUACUGACGCUGAAGCUCGAAAGCGCGGGUAUCGAACAGGAUUAGAUACCCGAGUAGUC
rnacentral:rRNA from 1 species